GACGAACGCUGGCGGCGUGCUUAACACAUGCAAGUCGAGCGGUAAGGCCCUUCGGGGUACACGAGCGGCGAACGGGUGAGUAACACGAGGGUGACCUGCCCUCAGCUCUGGGAUAAGCCUGGGAAACCGGGUCUAAUACCGGAUAGGACCAUGCGAUGCCUGUUGUGUGGUGGAAAGCUUUUCGGCUGGGGACGGGCCCGCGGCCUAUCAGCUUGUUGGUGGGGUGAUGGCCUACCAAGGUGGUGACGGGUAACCGGCCUGAGGGGGCUACCGGCCACACUGGUAAAUCGCCACGUCCCAGAUGCCUACGAGAGGCAGUAUUGGAUAAGAUUCCGCAAUGAGCGGAUGCCUGACGCCUCGACGCCGCUUGGGGGAUGACGGCCUUCGGGUUGUAACCCUCUUCCGCCAGGGACGAAGAGUGAUAGACGGUACCUGGAGAAGAAGCACCGGCCAACUACGUGCCAGCCGCCGCCGUAAGAC
rnacentral:rRNA from 1 species